CCUACGGGUGGCAGCAGUAGGGAAUCUUGCACAAUGGGCGAAAGCCUGAUGCAGCGACGCCGCGUGAGUGAUGAAGGUUUUCGGCUCGUAAAGCUCUGUCGGCAGUGAAGAACGAUCACUGUGGUAAUUAGCAUUGAUUUGACGGUACUUGCUUAGAAAGCAACGGCUAACUCCGUGCCAGCAGCCGCGGUAAUACGUAGGGUGCGAGCGUUGUUCGGAUUUAUUGGGCGUAAAGCGCUUGCAGGCGGUAUAUUAAGUCUAGUGUGAAAUCCUCGGGCUCAACGGGGGAACUGCAUUUGAAACUGGUGAACUGGAGUGCGGGAGAGGAGAGUGGAACUGCAGGUGGAGGAGUGGAAUGCGUAGAUAGAUGGAGGAACACCAGUGGCGAAGGCGACUCUCUGGUCUGCAACUGACGCUGAGGAGCGAAAGCAUGGGUAGCGAACAGGAUUAGAUACCCGUGUAGUC
rnacentral:rRNA from 1 species